rnacentral:rRNA from 1 species
UACGUAGGGGGCAAGCGUUGUCCGGAUUUAUUGGGCGUAAAGAGCGUGUAGGCGGCCAGGUAGGUCCGUUGUGAAAACUCGAGGCUCAACCUCGAGACGCCGGUUGAAACCAUCAGGCUAGAGUCCGGAAGAGGAGAGUGGAAUUCCCGGUGUAGCGGUGAAAUGCGCAGAUAUCGGGAAGAACACCCGUGGCUAAGGCGGCUCUCUAGUACGGUACUGACGCUGAGACGCGAAAGCGUGGGGAGCGAACAGG